rnacentral:tRNA from 1 species
GAGGAAGUGGCGAAAUCGGCAGACGCAUCGGACUUAAAAUCCGAAGCCUUCGGGCGUGGGGGUUCGAGUCCCCCCUUCCUCACCA